GAUGAACGCUAGCGGCAGGCUUAACACAUGCAAGUCGAGGGGCAACACGGGUAGCAAUACCUGGUGGCGACCGGCGCAAGGGUGCGUAACGCGUGAGCAACAUGCCCUAUACAGGGGGAUAAUCCAGGGAAACUUGGUCUAAUAUCCCAUAGUAUUUAGAGGUGGCAUCACCACUAAAUUAAAGCUUCGGUGGUAUAGGAUUGGCUCGCGUGACAUUAGCUGGAUGGUGGGGUAACGGCUCACCAUGGCGAUGAUGUCUAGGGGUUCUGAGAGGAAGACCCCCACACUGGGACUGAGACACGGCCCAGACUCCUACGGGAGGCAGCAGUGAGGAAUAUUGGACAAUGGAUGGAAAUCUGAUCCAGCCAUGCCGCGUGCAGGAAGACGGCCCUAUGGGUUGUAAACUGACUUUUAUAUGGGAGCAAUAAGGUUUACGCGUAGACCGAUGAGAGUACCAUAUGAAUAAGCAUCGGCUAACUCCG
rnacentral:rRNA from 1 species